GAACAAAAAGCAGUUCUGUGCAUAUGAAACAAGAAAAUAGUGAAAAGGCUUGUGUCUUCCCCUGAGCCGCCACUCUUUGUUCCAGUCUUAAAGUCUGACAUAUACUAGGGGUUGGAGGGGGGGAAAUGUUCCAGGAGCGCGGCGGUGAGACCCGGGGACUGGCGCUGGGACUGUCCGGCUCCUGGAGCUGUGAGCCGGGGACCUCCAGAGCCGCACCGGGGAUUGAUUUCCCGCUGGGCAGCUGAGGAUCUGCGGCCCGGCCUGGGUCGGAAGGAUACUGAACUGUUCCUGGGCCAACUGAGAUAUGUAAACACCUCGGCAAGUUCUUGGUCUACCCUGGGGUCUCCUCCCAGUUCAAAGUGCAAAGAAAACCUUCGUAGCGAGGCGCACAAGAGAUACCCAGAUCACCUCAGCUGGAUCCUUUUGAUGCAAAGACGCAGCAAUUCUCAUUGAAGCUGCCUCUGAAUCUUCAAGCUCCUCAACUUGUCUCUAAUGGUGUCCUUGGCUUCCGACCAACAACACCCACCAGCCAGCAGAGCAUCAUCCGUGAAGUUUACCUCUCGGUGCAAAAGGCUGAUAACCUGUAAUGAACGGGAGAGCAGCGGAGGCAGAGUGCAGGAUGAAAGCUGAGAUCUGAUCAACACAUGUCCUGGUUUCACCUCUGUUUGUCACGACUGUUUGCACAGAAUUAUUCCUACGCUAUCAGCACAUCCUAGACAACCUCCAGCUUGGCUUUGCUUCAGAGUUUCUUUCCAUAUUGUCCUAUUUUAAUCUUUUCAAAGGAUCACUUGGUUAUACAUGCAUUUAUAUCGCUGUAAGUGACUAGAGACUUAACAUUUACAUUUAUUUGUAUCCCACUUAACCCUCCUGUUGUCCUCAUUUACAGGCACUAAAAAAUAUUGUUUCUUUGUCUGAGAAAUAUCCAAAAAUUCAGCAAAAAAAUUCCCCAAAUUUUGGAAAAAAGUGCAAAACCUUCAGGAAGAAAAUUCCAAUAAUUCCUUAAAAAUUUCCCUUAAAAGUUUUGUUUUUAAAAAUCCCCCAAAAUUGGCAAGAAUAUUCUUGUAAAUAUUUUCAAAAAAUGAGUAAAAAUCUUCCAAAAAAAAAUCCUGAAAAUAUCUAAAGUGAUUACAUAUAUAUCAGUAAAACUUCUAUUUUCUUUAAGAACAUUCACAAAAAAAUCAACCAAAAUCCAGCGAAAUUCGCUGGAUUUUGGUUGAUUUUUUUUGUGAAUGUUCUUAAGAAACAUUUUUAACAUUUCUUUUUUUUUUUCCACCACAAAAUGUUUAAAGAUUUCCCAGAAAUGUUGAAAAUGUGGACAUCGGAAGUUUCACUGUGAAAAUUAUUAUUUAUUUCCACAUUUUCAAACUUUAAAACGAGUCAAUUUUGACCCGCAGGACGACACGAGGGAACUUUUCAUUUACUUUCUUCUUUUUCCCAUCUGUAGAUCUGGCUGAUCUGGAUAUGACCCUCAAUCUGUGCUUACUGGACAAACAAAGAGAGACAAUGACAGCUCAUUAGCAGCAGCUCACUGACAGCCUACUGACUGUCUGUAGCUGAUGGUCCAAUAUUUGACCUACUUCAUGGUUCUGCACGAUCAGUCAUUUUGUUGGAGGUAAAAUGUUUUUAAGACGGCCAUAAAACGCCAAUCGAGGCGAGAUCAGAUUGAUUUAAUCAAGGCAAACAAUAAUUUGUGCCUCAUAAACACAAUAAAAACACUUCACAUUAAGGUUUCUCAGUGAUUAUGUACAUUUUGUGAUGUUUCGGAUCUGAUAUGUUUUCUGUGAAUGAAGUUUUAUUUGUAUGAUUAUAAAGACUGGAAUCACAGAACUUUUUGAAGCCAUAAGCUAAUAAUUUACUCAUAGCGUUCCCUGUCUCCUGUGCCUUCUCUUUACUCUUUCAGACACAAUAAGGCCUUUCCUUUCACUUUCUCAAGGCUGCAGAAGCAGAGAUUUCCCUCUGAUUUAAUUGAAAAUGUGCAAAAACAUGGGAGUAGCAUACAAGUUAUUCAAAACACAUUCAUUUCAAUAGGAUCAACAGGUGCUGAGUAUGACUGAAUUUAACACCUGAUUCGUCUUUCUGUGUUUCCAGGUGAUGCCUUUAAGCUGUGCUGGUGCUUUAGAGUUUUACAAUGUGUGACGAAGUGAUAUGACUGUUCGCUUGAUCAUACACGACACAGCAGUUUCCAUGAUGCACGAGUCUGUCUGACGCAGUGCUUAUUUGUCUCUGCGAAAGAGCAAACUGUCUGCAAGCAAAGCUAAAAAUGCUCUCAGUGUGUGUCACCUGGAGAGCAAAGCUGCCAGAUAGAACAGACUAUUACUGUGCACAUCUCAGGAUAACUGAAGUACUUUCUGUGGAUUGAAUAAAAAUCAUACUCACCCUGCAAA